CCAUUCUGUUUAGAUAUAAAUGUACUAUCUAGAGUGUCAAGCGCUUUCUUUAAUUUUGCCUUUGAUGUAAUUCUGUUGAUUUCAUAGGCAUCACAUAUGUCUUCUAUGAUAUGUUUUUGUUGAUGUGUCAAUUUACCCUUGAACCAUUUUUCUUCUAGCUGAUUAUUAAAGACAACGCAUAAAGCAAGACUACAUAUUCUUAAGAUUCCAUCAUCAACAUGCCAACAUAAAUUAUCUAAUUCAUUCUGAUAGACUUUAAAUGGAUUUUUGAAAAAUUC
rnacentral:lncRNA from 1 species